UCGGAUCGAGGAAGAGUGGACUACAUGAAUCAAAGUUUGCCACAGUUGAAGAGUGGUGGGAUAGCAAAGGACUAGCUGUGGGUGACUAUGCUGGGUUAGCAUCAUUGAUAUUCACAGAGAUAUUUAGUUCUGAUUUCCUCACGCCCAUGGAGGAAACUGAUACUAGCUUUCAGAUGGAGGUCCAUGGGGUAAGCUUGGCGAGAUAUACAGAGAUGAUGCGCUGUAUGCCAGAUAGACCUGACCUUGAUGAGAAGUUGACUGUUCACACACCAAGAGGAAAUAUACAGGUUCAUGCUCCUUACCUAGAUUUAGCAGCUUU